UACGUAGGGGGCGAGCGUUAUCCGGAUUUACUGGGCAUAAAGAGCUUGUAGGCGGCGAUCUAAGUCGGAUGUUAAAUUCUUCAGCUCAACUGGAGCAUGCAUUGGAUACUGGAUUGCUAGAGAUCAGGAGAGGAAAGCGGAACUCACGGUGUAGCGGUGGAAUGCGUAGAUAUCGUGAGGAACACCAGUUGCGAAGGCGGCUUUCUGGACUGAAUCUGACGCUCAAGAGCGAAAGCGUGGGGAGCGAACGGGAUUAGAUACCCCGGUAGUCCACGCCGUAAACUGUGUUCACUAGGUGUAGGAGGUAUCGACCCCUUCUGUGCCACAGAUAAUUCGUUAAGUGAACCGCCUGGGAAGUACGACCGCAAGGUUA
rnacentral:rRNA from 1 species